GAUUCUGGCUCAGAACGAACGCUGGCGGCAGGCUUAACACAUGCAAGUCGAGCGCCCCGCAAGGGGAGCGGCAGACGGGUGAGUAACGCGUGGGAACAUACCCUCUGGUUCGGAAUAACUCAGGGAAACUUGAGCUAAUACCGGAUACGCCCCCUGGGCUUGGCCUGGGGGGAAAGAUUUAUUGCCGGAGGAUUGGCCCGCGUCCGAUUAGCUCGUUGGCGGGGUAACGGCCCACCAAGGCGACGAUCGGUAGCUGGUCUGAGAGGAUGAUCAGCCACAUUGGGACUGAGACACGGCCCAAACUCCUACGGGAGGCAGCAGUGGGGAAUAUUGGACAAUGGGCGCAAGCCUGAUCCAGCCCAUGCCGCGUGAGUGAUGACGGCCUUAGGGUUGUAAACUUCUAUCAGCAGGGAAGAAGAUGACGGUACCUGACUAAGAAGCCCCGGCUAACUACGUGCCAGCAGCUGC
rnacentral:rRNA from 1 species